UGGACCCUCCUUUUUAAAGCCCCCUCUCAGGCUCCGCUGUUGAGUUCAUGGCCUCCUAUUAUUUAGCAGAUUUGUUUUUGCAUCCUGGUUGAACUUUCUAGUGUGAGAGGAAAAAACUCCAUCAGGAUCAUAUAUGUGCCUUUGCAGGGACGCGGGGGGCAUAACCUAACAAAUGUGUGGGGUCAAUUGGUUUCCCAAGGGGACGCUACUGAGAAGCUGGCUCACCAAGUCCCGGCCCAGACUGCUGCUGCUUAUUGCGGGGUUGAAGAGGCCUCAGGUGACCCUUAUGCGGAGGAAAAGGAUGAAGCGCACAAAAGUAGCAAAGGCCACGUAAGCGGCUGGAAAACAUAAGUUGUCCACACUGGCUAUCACCAUGAACACAUGAAGAAUAAGAACCUGCAAUCGGAUGCCGCAUUUCACUUGAGGCCUUAGAAAAAAGGAUCUCCCUGCCCGAGUUAGAUAUGGAAGCCCAAGACAUGGAAGAACUACGUUUUCAAUCUCUGCCAAAGCAACGAACUAAAAGCCAAAGCAAACCGAAAAGGGGUUCCACAUUUUUCAUCAAAACGAGGGAUCGACCACAGAGAUCUAGACCCCCGGAUUAAAUCAGGAUUUUUCCUGAUUCACACCCAUUUGUACAUCUUUUUCUUCAAAUAUACAUUUGUUAUGGUUCAUGGCACUACAAUGCGUGUGACUUGUACAUUAUUUUAUAUCAAGAGGCAUGCAUUUAGUUGAGAAAUACUGAAUCUCACUGUGUUUUUAGGUUAGGUUUUUUCUUCCCAAAUCAGAGCAAAUUAUUCAGUUUCCAAGCGGACUUUGUGUUGGAAUGAGUGAAAAUUAGAGUGUCUCUCCACACCUGGUGGGUGCAAGUGUCUAAUUCAUACAGGGCUCAAUACUGAGGUACUGCUGGGCCUACAGGUUACCAUCAGAGACCCACCAUUUCUCCUUAGUCAAUAAUCCACAAGUCACAUUGGCUGGAAUGGAAAAAUAGGUUCAUCCUGAGUUGCUAAAUACCCAGAGACCAUUUUUGCUCGAGUUAUUACUUUAUUUAAUUGAAAACUCAUUCAAAGAUUAGCUUGGUAAAGAUUGGUUGAGUGUCACCUACAGGAUACGGUAAAUAUGUCAAGCAGCCAGCACACACAAUUUGUCAUUUGGUAAGAAUUCACAUCUCGUACUAAUGUAAUAUUAAAGUAUUACAUUUAUUAAGACUGGCACAAAAUAUUGGAAACCAUAUUCUGUUAAUGUAUAAGUUCAAUUAUCUGCAUGCUUAUUUGUUACAUUGAAAAGCAGUUUCACAAGCAAUAAUACAGUUAAGUAUUUUUGUUCUACUAAAACUGUCCUCUACCCAUCCAACUACUAAGAAAUUUAGAUACGUUUUUACCUACUGACAUCUGCUCCAUGACACCUACAUGAACACUGAAAGUUCUUGUUAAUGCAUUCAAUCACUAAUCAAGGUGUGUUUGUCCUAAUUCUGUUCACCUGUCUUACCUGCUACCAUAUGACAGCAAGCACACAUAACAAAACUAGCAUCUUUGACGUUGAUAGCCAUCAUAAUAUUUAGUACAAAUAAUACCAAAUGAGUAACCUUAUAAUAAGGUAACACUUUAUACUAAGUUGUUCUAUUACAUAUGUACAAUAGAUUACCUGUUGUUGCCCAAUUGUCACAAGGGACCAAAUUUGACUAUUUUUUUACUUAAAUGAGUAACUUAUACUUGAAACAUACACAUUUAAAUCUAACAUUUAUUUAAUAACAAUGUAUCAUUCAGGGAAUCUAAUCUUUGUUACUCUAACUACUUGCUGUAACAAAUGAUUUAUUAAAACAAUAAACUGCUAACUUAAUAUAAAGUGAGACCGAAUACACUCCUGGAUUCAUGUGGUAGCUGUUUGUUUGAAUGUGUGUUGUCCACUCUGUGCUUUCCAAGCGUUAUGAAACUCAAGGUUAUACAUUUCUUACUGUCAUUUUUCAUUCCUGUCACAUUUACUUUUGUAUUAUUGAAUUUGAUGUAAAUUACUGGGUGGAGAUGAGAAAACACUGCACAAACCAGUUAACUUUGUAUACAGACUUGCAUUCAACAGUCCCUAAAGUGUUUUAGUGUGAACUGUAAACUAGUGCCUUAGGUGGGUGUAAUGUUGACAAAAUUUUUCACAAAUAAGUCUGUCUAGCACUAAUAUCACAAAAACAAAUGUACUUAGAAAAGGAAAGCAUUACCCUGAAAUAGAAAGAUCAGUAACAUUAAUUAUUGUUUGGCUGACUGCAUUUAUUGACAUGUGGAUUAUACCUCAAAUUACAUGUGAGAUUAGAAAAAAUACUGCCUUACUUACUAGAAUCGUUUUGAUUACGUAUUUUAUGUGUCAUGCAGAGUCAUAUGUUCACAAGUCUACAUUUUAGUGCAAUUGAGCUCCACUUAUUAGUGAUUUAAUAUUUCAAGAGCCUGAAUAAUCACAUAUACACCAAUUAUCUCACAUAAUAACACCAGUUAGGAAUUACACACGAGUACCUCACCGGGAUAAUUUUUUAAGUAAUUUGGUCACUGCUUACUGCUCAGUGCAAAAACACCCAGCAUGAACCCAUUUGAAAUGCUGGUUUCUAAGAUGAAAGUUUUGAAGAAUAAACUCUUAGGCAGAAGGUUUGGAGUACUGUACCGCAGAUGGAGCACAGAUUAACCAACACAUGGGGCAACACUAGUCUUUGGGUGGCUUGGUUAUUUUGCAGUGAGUUUCUGUUGAAUGUGUUUGUAUUUGAGAAGCUCUUGGUCAGAGACUGAUGGUUUGAGGCUUUUCAGAGCAUGAUUAAAGUCAUCUGCAGAGAGGAUAAGAGGUGAAUCAUCUGUGUCCAGACCUGAGAGUUAAAGAGAGAUAGGGAUAGCACAUGGAUAGAGGACGGAAAGAAAGAGGGAUGAUUGAGUGAAAGAGAGGCAGAGGGAGAAUGAGAAAAUUACACAAAAGAAGAAUACAUAUUCCACUAGUUGUUAGUUUGAAGUUGCCAUUCGAUGGUAGCAGAUUAAACCAUUACCAUCCUUAGAAGUGCUUUAAGUAGGAACUUUCAUGACAUGAUUAAGUACAUGAGAACAUUUUUAUUUUACUUAUCUUCCAAGACAUUACACAAAUGGUUGAUUUUUUUGGUGGAAUUAGUCAUUUGUUACAUAAUUGCCAUGCGCUUGCACUGUAAAAUUAAGUUUUGAAAGCUGUAGUAAAGUUUUUAUCAGUGAGUGAAUGCCUCUUGAUUUGUUUCACUGUGUUAAUAUGAAUACAAUUAUCAUAGUCAGAAAAAAUUAUCCUGUGUGUGGACAUGCAUGUUUUACAACAUUUUACUGCAAUUAAAGGUUUUUGAGAUUGAAGAAUUACA